CCUACGGGGCGCAGCAGUGGGGAAUAUUGGGCAAUGGGCGCAAGCCUGACCCAGCAACGCCGCGUGAAGGAAGAAGGCUUUCGGGUUGUAAACUUCUUUUGUCAGGGACGAAGCAAGUGACGGUACCUGACGAAUAAGCCACGGCUAACUACGUGCCAGCAGCCGCGGUAAUACGUAUGGUGCAAGCGUUAUCCGGAUUUACUGGGUGUAAAUGGAGCGUAGGCGGCGCGUUAAGUCUGAUGUGAAAACCCGAGGCUCAACCACGGGAGUGCAUUGGAAACUGGCGGGCUGGAGUGCCGGAGAGG
rnacentral:rRNA from 1 species